CUGGGAAAAAAAAAAAAAACUCUUCCAGGACAGACGUUGAGAGAACGAGGAGGAAGGAGAGAAAAUGGCGUCCACAGAUUACAGUAUCUAUAGCCAAGCUGCAGCCCAGUAGGGCUACAGUGCUUACACUGUCCAACCAACUCAAGGAUAUACACAGACCACCCAGGCAUAUGGGCAACAAAGCUAUGGAACUUAUGGACAGCCUACUGAUGUCAGCUAUACCCAGGCUCAGACCACUGCCACCUAUGGGCAGACCGCAUAUGCAACUUCUUAUGGACAGCCUCCCCUCCCACUUGUUAUACUAUCC
rnacentral:lncRNA from 1 species